rnacentral:misc_RNA from 1 species
AUUCUGACUUCCUAAUGAAACCUGCUUCAUCACACUCUGGACACCUUUGAUGAGCAAUUCAACAUAAACAAUUCGGUUUAUAAUCAAAGGAACAGAGCGAAGAAGAACAAGAGCCAAUUUAAACAAAACGUGUUCUACUUUUGAUAAGUACUCACAAAUAGCACCCAAGUUCAUCCAUCCAACAACGUAGACUUUGCAUUCACUCAACACAAUAUCAACCAAUGUGAUAAAGCAAAGAAACAAGGAAGAAAAUACAAG